UAGGAAUAUUGGUCAAUGGGAGAGAUCCUGAACCAGCCAAGCCGCGUGAGGGAAGACGGCCCUAUGGGUUGUAAACCUCUUUUGUCGGAGAACAAAACCCGGGACGUGUCCCGGACUGCGUGUAUCCGAAGAAAAAGCAUCGGCUAACUCCGUGCCAGCAGCCGCGGUAAUACGGAGGAUGCGAGCGUUAUCCGGAUUUAUUGGGUUUAAAGGGUGCGUAGGCGGUCCGUUAAGUCAGCGGUAAAAUUGCGGGGCUCAACCCCGUCGAGCCGUUGAAACUGGCAGACUUGAGUUGGCGAGAAGUACGCGGAAUGCGCGGUGUAGCGGUGAAAUGCAUAGAUAUCGCGCAGAACUCCGAUUGCGAAGGCAGCGUACCGGCGCCAGACUGACGCUGAGGCACGAAAGCGUGGGGAUCGAACAGGAUUAGAUACCCUGGUAGUCCACGCAGUAAACGAUGAAUGCUGGUUGUCCGGGUCGAAUGAGACCUGGGCGGCGA
rnacentral:rRNA from 1 species